CCGGGCUUAACCUGGGAAACUGCAUUUGUGACUGCCCAGGCUCGAGUUUGUCAGAGGGGGGUGGAAUUCCACGUGUAGCAGUGAAAUGCGUAGAGAUGUGGAGGGAACACCGAUGGCGAAGGCAGCCCCCUGGGAUGUGACUGACGCUCAUGUACGAAAGCGUGGGGAGCAAACAGGAUUAGAUACCCUGGUAGUCCACGCCCUAAGCGAUGUCGACUAGUUGUCGGGAAUUCAUUUUCUCGGUAACGCAGCUAACGCGUGAAGUCGACCGCCUGGGGAGUACGGUCGCAAGAUUAAAACUCAAAGGAAUUGACGGGGACCCGCACAAGCGGUGGAUGAUGUGGAUUAAUUCGAUGCAACGCGAAAAACCUUACCUACCCUUGACAUGCCCGGAAUCCUGCAGAGAUGUGGGAGUGCCCGAAAGGGAGCCGGGGCACAGGUGCUGCAUGGCUGCCGUCAGCUCGUGUCGUGAGAUGUAGGGUUAAGUCCCGCAACGAGCGCAACCCUUGUCACUAGUUGCUACGAAAGGGCACUCUAGUGAGACUGCCGGUGACAAACCGGAGGAAGGUGGGGAUGACGUCAAGUCCUCAUGGCCCUUAUGGGUAGGGCCUCACACGUCAUACAAUGGCCGGUACAAAGGGCUGCCAACCCGCGAGGGGGAGCCAAUCCCGGAAAGCCGGUCGUAGUCCGGAUUGCAGUCUGCAACUCGACUGCAUGAAGUCGGAAUCGCUAGUAAUCGCGGAUCAGCAUGUCGCGGUGAAUACGUUCCCGGGUCUUGUACUCACCCCCGUC
rnacentral:rRNA from 1 species